AAAAUUCCUGCAGCUGCUGAGUUAGUACUUUUAAGAAAGCCCUGGAUUCCCUCUCACAAUGGGACUUCGAUUCUUUUAUUUUUUUGAGACGGAGUUUCGCUCUUGUUACCCAGGCUGGAGUGCAAUGGCGCGAUCUCGGCUCACCGCAACCUCCGCCUCCUGAGUUCAGGCAGUUCUCCUGCCUCAGCCUCCUGAGUAGCUGGGAUUACAGGCACGCACCACCAUGCCCAGCUAAUUUUUUGUAUUUUUAGUAGAGACGGGGUUUCACCAUGUUGACCAGGAUGAUCUCGAUAUCUUGACCUCGUGAUCCACCCGCCUCGGCCUCCCAAAGUGCUGGGAUUAGAGGUGUGAGCCACCGCGCCCGGCCUGGGACUUCGAUUCUUUUAAGGAAAAGAUUUCAGAAGUUUUCAAAUAACCUGGAGUAUCUGAACAAAGUUAGCCUGUGUGUGCUUCCCGCUGGCUGCGUUCGAGGGGCUGGGUCUCUCUGAGUGGAAGCUGGUGAGGGCGGAGGUGAGCGAAGGCUUAUCCGGGACUGGAGGAGAAGGGGACAGCCCGGGGAAUAAAAAGGAAAUUCUUCAUUGAGACGCAUGGAGAUGCUGUAUGUCAACGCUAGAGGAUGCCAGGCUGGGGAAGAAGAGAAGGUGCCCGAGGCCCGUGUGGAAGGCCUGUCACACAGCACGUCCCGCAAAAUCUGUCCAGGAAGCUGCCAGGCUGGCAUCGGCGUCUUCACUGUGCAAAUGAGGAAACUGAGGCACAGAGGUGAAGGGACAUGCCCAGGAUCACCAAGGCGAGAUGGGGUAAGAGCAGGGAUCUUGGGUGCAAUCUCGGCUUACUACAACCUCCGCCUCCCGGUUUCAAGCGAUUCUCCUGCUUCAGCCUCCUGAGUAGCUGGGAUUACAGGUGCCCGCAAUAAGGCCUGGCUAAUUUUUUGUAUUUUUACUAGAGAUGGGGUUUCACCAUGUUGGCCAGGCUGGUCUCGAACUCUGAUCUCAGGUGAUCUGCCUUGCUCUGUCCCUUAGGGACCUGACCUUUGUGUUUCAGACACCAGCAAAUCACCUCAUUCUUCUUACAGUUCACUGUUUUCCUGAGCUGGAGCCACGGUCUGGGUAGCUGUCCCUUGGCGAGGGGCAUUCAGGGUUCCAGCAGUCACAUGCCACAGUAAACAAGCUUCAUAAACAUCCCACGAUAAAUGUGGAGAGAACCCCUGUAGGGACGAUGACUCUACGUGGAAUUGCUGGGAAGAGCGUGUCAGUUUUAAAUGUUGGCAAUCACUCAUCAUGGUGGUCAUUCAUUCUUCCCCCAGCCAGGGCUGGUGUUCCUGUGUCCUCUCCUUACCGGUGUUUACUUGUUGGCAACGUGGCAGGUGAAACAUGUACUCUGCCUUUAAACAAUUAUACUUGGCUGGGCAUGGUGGCUCAUGCCUCUAAUCCCAGAGCUUUCAGAAACCGAGGUGGGUGGAUUGCUUGAGGCCCAGAGUUUGAGAGUAGUUUUGGCAACACGGCGAGACCCUGUCUCUACAAGAAAAAGAAGAAUCAGCGUGGCGUAGCAGAGCACGCCUGUGGUCCCAGCUACUGGGGAGGCUGAAGUGGGAGGAUUGCUUGAGCCUGUCUCAGAACAAACAAACAAACAAAAAUAAGGCAAAGAAAAAAUGCACAGUUUCAAAACACAGUUUUAAACACAUUUGGGAAAAUAUAGGCAGUAGAAAUAACAGUUGUGCUCUUAAUGGCUCAGACAGGGCUAGGCCCAUGGUAGGUGCUCAUUAAAUAUGUAUUAAGGAAGUGAAUAAGGAAGAAAACCCGUAGCUCUGCCAGUGAGAAACGCUUGUCAACAUUUCACUGCGUUUGUUUUCCCUGAGUAUUUUUUCCUCCACAUAAUUUAGCUUUGUUUUCCAUCCAUUAUGCUCACCCGUGCAGACAGUGUUUAAUCUUGGUUUUUUGCACUUCACACCGUUGACACGUAUGUGUCUCUCUUCUAAGCAGCAUUUAAACGUCUCUAUGAUACCCUCACAGGUGUGUGAACUGUAGUUCUUCUGAAUCAUCUGUUGUUGUGCUUUUAGGCUGUUUUCAGUUUUUCUUUUUAUAAAUGAUACAACGGAGUAUCUUUAUGCAGAGAACGUUUCUGCACUUCCUCUUAUGCAGAAGGAAAAGUGCUCAGAAGAUUCACUUGGUCAAAGGUUUUACAAUCUGAUUUCAUACUUCUUAAGAAUGAUGCACCUUAUGAAACAACUUUAUAUCUGCUGAAAAAAACCUAGUUCUUUUUUUAAUAUUGUCUUAAAAAAAUGACUUGUUCUGAACAAUAUCCUGUGCCUUUCAGAAAACAGUGACGGAUAUGAAAGGAGAUUUGUUCUCUCCAAGCUCUUAGGAGGCGAUCUGGCUCAGGAAACAGACACAUCAGAUCCGAGCGUGUAUCUGAUGGUUGCCAUGGGAACGAGUCAUUUAACAGCCACUCGGCUAAAGCAUUGAUCAAUAAGGGAGGGGGCAAGAGGGAAACAAAUUAGUUGGUGUCUGAGUAGCCCCCAGAGAGAGCAAUAACACAUCUCCUUCUUAUGGCAGGGGCCCAGGCAGGAGGCUCAAGGUCCUGUCUGUCCAUGCUGGGAUGCGUGGGGCAGGAGGGCAGCAGGGGCAGAGAACAGAAUCAUAUCGGGGUGAGAAACCUGCUCCUCAAACAUGGGGCAAGGGAGGCUUUAGACAAGGCUGGGAGCACACCUCCAGGGAUGGGGGCACGGCCGGUCCUGGGUCUCCAUGCUCCUGUGAUGUCCUUGCAGGGCCUGCUGGGACACCCUGUGUUACCCCAUUGCUCAAGUGGGAAGUCCCAGGCCCGAAAGGAGUACCUUCCAGGUACAUGGCCAGCCCCACUUUUCUUCUGUGGGCUCCCAGCCUGGCAGGGGAGAAAGGCAAAGGCCCUCAUGCAGUCAUUCAUUGAUUGAUUCCCCAGAUUCAUUCAUUAUUCCUGAGCAUGUCUGAGGUCCCACGCCCCGGCCUGGGCAGACAGCAGAUACCCAAGGGGAGGACAGAACUUAGGCUCUGGGGCCAAAUCACGGCUCAGCCACUUGGCAGGCUCUUCACCUGUAAUGUGUUGAGAAAGUGACGUGAAGUCAGAGCCAGGAGCGGGCAUCGUGAGUGCUCGGUGGCCAUUGCUGCGAGGCAUAAUCGAGAGGGAAUGUGGAGGUGGAAUCGAGGGCUCCUGAGUGGAAGUACUCAUGAAGUCUUGACUGAAUACAGACAGCUGACACAGGGGCGGCUGUGUUCACCGCCAGAGGGUGGGAUUACACAUGAGAGAAGGCAGGAGAAAAGCCAGGGCCCCAGACCACCGGAGGCUGCAUCUGUGGACCUGCUCCGCACACGUAUGGGGGCAGGUGUGGCUGGCUCAGGGUCAGUGCCCACCAGAGAGGUAGAUCAUAGAUGAGCUGGAAUUUUCCAACCCUGCCAGCCUGGGCCAUCUCGUGGGUGCUGUUGGUUGUGUGGGGAGGAGGCCCUCUUUUCUCAGUCCCUCCCCAAAUGAGUGCAAGUUGGGACACACAUAGGAGAAAGAUUCUCAUAAGAUGCAUGCCAAGAUUCUGCUGUCCCAGCCUUUGGUUCCAGUAGUUGGACUUCUUGAAGUCUUUUCCAGGGAAAUCACCUUGAACCCAGGGUGAGUGCUGUAGCAUUCUUGAUGAGAGUAACAGGUAACACCUCCAUGCCCGAACCGUGUACCGCUUACGAGAAUAAUGAUGCCUUUUCCUGCUUUGAGGUGACCCCUAGAAACAGCCAGUGGCCGGGAAGCUGCCCUGUUUGUGCGCUGCAGGGGUGGGCACAGGUGGGGCUGCCUGUCCUCCUCCUGGAAGGAGGGAGAGCCCAGCCUGGCCUGGAGUGGUCGAGAGCUGACUCUAGACUCAGCAAGACCUAGUCUCUUUCCCGCUCCUGCUUCCUUGCCUCUGACCUGGGCAAGUCACUGAAGCUGCUCUGUGCCUCAGUCUGCUUAUGCGUAAGAUGGGCACAGGGCGCACUGCCUACUUGAUUGGGCCAAAUCAUGUGCCUGGCGAGAGUCAGCCCUCAGGAAACGAUAACCCCAUUCAUUCAGGCUCGGGGGGGACAGCCCAGACUCCCGCUCCAUGGAGGCCACACUGGGGACUGCGGGGCUGGGCUGGCAUCCCAGGCCCACCGGAUACUGGCUGUACACCCCGGCCAGGCCAGGCAUUUCGUAGUCUCACUUUCCCGUGUGUGAGAUGAGGCUAGAAGCUGCUUUCUCUCGCCUGCGUGGGGACUGGGGGUGGCAUCACAGCCGGGAGCCCAGGCCCAGCCUCACGCCAGCAGGCUUGCUCCAGGCCACACGCCCCACCCCUGACAGCGCUGUGCAGCCAGGGCGUGUGCCAGUGGGUGGCUGCCUGGCAGGCGAGGGGCGCGGGUGCAGCGAGGGCUUCACUGCUUCUGGAAAGAUCGCAAGGAAACGCCACCUCCGCGGCGGGACGCUCCCCGCUGGGCCCCUGCGGUCCCGCUCCUGGCCGGCAGGGGGCAGGAUGUCCCCGCGAGUCGCCCGCGUCCUCGCGUGUCCUCGAGUCACCCCGCGCGGCUCGCAGCCUCCGCGCCUCGUUAAAGGGCCACGCGCUCAUUUCUGCAAAGAAGGAGCCCAGCGGCCCCUCCCCGGGGAUCCCUUCCCAUCAACUCUGGGCCUAAUCAUUUACAUUUAAUUUGUUAGCGGUUUAAUGUUUAAUUUUAAAAAACGAGAUGAUUCAUUACCAUAUUAAUAAAUAAUAACAUUUAUUAUUCUCCUAA